UACGUAGGGGGCAAGCGGUUGUCCGGAUUCAUUGGGCGUAAAGAGCGUGUAGGCGGCCAGGUAGGUCGGUUGUGAAAACUGGAGGCUCAACCUUCAGAGGUCGACCGAAACCAUCUGGCUAGAGUCCGGGAGAGGAGAGUGGAAUUCCUGGGUGUAGCGGUGAAAUGCGCAGAUAUCAGGAGAACACCCGUGCGAAAGCGGCUCUCUGGAACGGUAC
rnacentral:rRNA from 1 species